rnacentral:rRNA from 1 species
UUUACCAUGCAGUGGAGCGACGAACCGGGCUUCGGCCCGGGGCAAAGCCGCGAACGGGUGAGUAACACGUGGGUGACCUGCCCUUAGCUCUGGGAUAAGCCUGGGAAACUGGGUCUAAUACCGGAUAUGACUCCAUGACGCAUGUUGUGGGGUGGAAAGCCUUGUGCGGCUAGGGAUGGGCCCGCGGCCUAUCAGCUUGUUGGUGGGGUGAUGGCCUACCAAGGCGACGACGGGUAGCCGGCCUGAGAGGGCGACCGGCCACACUGGGACUGAGACACGGCCCAGACUCCUACGGGAGGCAGCAGUGGGGAAUCUUGCGCAAUGGGCGAAAGCCUGACGCAGCGACGCCGCGUGAGGGAUGACGGCCUUCGGGUUGUAAACCUCUUUCAGCCCUGACGAAGCGAAAGUGACGGUAGGGGCAGAAGAAGCACCGGCCAACUACGUGCCAGCAGCCGCGGUAAUACGUAGGGUGCAAGCGUUGUCCGGAAUUAUUGGGCGUAAAGAGCUCGUAGGCGGUCUGUCGCGUCGGCUGUGAAAACUCGGGGCUCAACCCCGAGCUUGCAGUCGAUACGGGCAGGCUAGAGUGCGGCAGGGGAGACUGGAAUUCCUGGUGUAGCGGUGAAAUGCGCAGAUAUCAGGAGGAACACCGGUGGCGAAGGCGGGUCUCUGGGCCGAUACUGACGCUGANGAGCGAAAGCGUGGGGAGCGAACAGGAUUAGAUACCCUGGUAGUCCACGCCGUAAACGUUGGGCGCUAGGUGUGGGAUCCCUUCCACGGGUUCCGUGCCGCAGCUAACGCAUUAAGCGCCCCGCCUGGGGAGUACGGCCGCAAGGCUAAAACUCAAGGAAUUGACGG